UGGAUUUGAAUACCAAGUACGCUGCAUAAUGGGUUCCUGGCGACAGCAUGCAAGAAUUAAUUGUGCCUCUGAUUUUGAGACAACAUACCCUGAUGAGUUCAGCAACUUCUGCAAACCUCGGUAUAUCACCCCAUAUUAUAUACAGGGCCCUAGCUGAUAGCAUGAUACAUUUCUUCCCACUGUGCCUGUCCAGCGAAAAGCUCUGCAAA